GGAAUGGCAAUGUGAGCUUUAUUCAAAAGCUUUUGCGCUAUAUAAGGAUCAGAAAAGCACAAGGGAUAAGGAGCGAUAAGCAUGUCGAGAAAGAAGUAGAGUGGCUCGCUCUGACCAUAUAGUUGACAACAGUGCGCUAAAGGACAGCCAAGCAACCAUUUAGAAGGAACCUAAUUCCUGAAUGACUGUGAUGAACAGAGGUGCCGUAUAAACCUGUCUCACAGAAGGAGGUACCUCAGACCUGUCUCACAGAAGGAGAGCUACCAGACUAACAGUGCAUGUUUGAAAAUUCUAAGUGAAGAGAAAGUAUGACUAUCAACUACAGACAUUUGUGUUUUCUUCUCUGGAUGCUCUGCACUCGCAGAUUCUCAGCAAAUGAGAUGAUAACACCAAAUAAUGACUCAAGAGUCUUUGCUGAUGGAAAAAGUAGUAAAGAUCAAGACAGAAAGGUCAGAAAAUAAACCAACUAAAGAUGAAAUCAGGCUUCCCUGAAGAAAAAUGCAUGGGACCAGCACAACUGGUUAACUAGAAAGAUCUUUAAGACCUCCAGUCAUCUCAUCUGCUUUUCUGGCUGAAUUCAAGAGUGAACACAAGCACAUGGAUCUCCAUUGGUGGCUUAUCCUUAGGGCUCAAGCAAGGAGAGGAACUAAAGGAAUGGACAGUGUUAUAUACCUUCUCAUAAUGAUUGCAUUGCAAUAAAUUAGUCU